GGGUGUAGCUCCGCCACCUUCGCUAUUCGCUCCACCUCCACCUCCACCUCCUCACUAUUCUACUCCUAAUCAAUCGGCGGCAUCGAACGAUCCUCAUGCUUCAGCGAAUCCUUCACCAAAUCAGUCUCAUUGACCAUCUUGGUGAUGAUACUUGUGGUUGUUAAUGGUACUUCUAUUUGCAAUUAUGGUUGUAGAUGAUGGAGCACUUGGAUUACUUGUGAACUUAUUUGUGAUAUAUUGUGAGACAUGUGACGUUUGUGAUAUAUAUGUGGUGUUGGUGAUAUAUAUGUGCUGUUGAUGAUA